rnacentral:lncRNA from 10 species
GGCGAUGGCAGCUCAGUGCUGGAGCAGGGGACGCCGGGGUUAUGGGGUGGGGGGCAUGGGCCUCUGCUGACUCUGUCUCCCCAGGCAGCUGCAUUCAGCCUCAGCGGAGGACACGCCUGUGGUGCAGUUGGCAGCCGAGACCCCAACAGCAGAGAGCAAGGAGAGAGCCUUGAACUCUGCCAGCACCUCGCUUCCCACAAGCUGUCCAGGCAGUGAGCCAGUGCCCACCCAUCAGCAGGGGCAGCCUGCCUUGGAGCUGAAAGAGGAGAGCUUCAGAGACCCCGCUGAGGUUCUAGGCACGGGCGCGGAGGUGGAUUACCUGGAGCAGUUUGGAACUUCCUCGUUUAAGGAGUCGGCCUUGAGGAAGCAGUCCUUAUACCUCAAGUUCGACCCCCUCCUGAGGGACAGUCCUGGUAGACCAGUGCCCGUGGCCACCGAGACCAGCAGCAUGCACGGUGCAAAUGAGACUCCCUCAGGACGUCCGCGGGAAGCCAAGCUUGUGGAGUUCGAUUUCUUGGGAGCACUGGACAUUCCUGUGCCAGGCCCACCCCCAGGUGUUCCCGCGCCUGGGGGCCCACCCCUG